rnacentral:ncRNA from 2 species
CUGACAUAACCUGGGUGUCCGCCGUAGAGAUUACGGCGGAAGAAUAGGGAAGAGGGUGCAAGUCCCUCGCUGCCCCGCAACUGUGAACGGUGACGAACGCCGCUAGUACCCAGUACCCCAUAAUACUUAUCGUAUUCUG